rnacentral:rRNA from 1 species
AUUGAACGCUGGCGGGAUGCUUUACACAUGCAAGUCGAACGGCAGCGCGGACUUCGGUCUGGCGGCGAGUGGCGAACGGGUGAGUAAUGUAUCGGAACGUGCCCAGUAGCGGGGGAUAACUACGCGAAAGCGUAGCUAAUACCGCAUACGCCCUACGGGGGAAAGCAGGGGAUCGUAAGACCUUGCACUAUUGGAGCGGCCGAUAUCGGAUUAGCUAGUUGGUGAGGUAACGGCUCACCAAGGCGACGAUCCGUAGCUGGUUUGAGAGGACGACCAGCCACACUGGGACUGAGACACGGCCCAGACUCCUACGGGAGGCAGCAGUGGGGAAUGUUGGACAAUGGGGGAAACCCUGAUCCAGCCAUCCCGCGUGUGCGAUGAAGGCCUUAGGGUUGUAAAGCACUUUUGGCAGGAAAGAAACGUCGCGGGCUAAUACCCCGUGGAACUGACGGUACCUGCAGAAUAAGCACCGGCUAACUACGUG